rnacentral:rRNA from 1 species
GACGGGGGGGGCAAGUGUUCUUCGGAAUGACUGGGCGUAAAGGGCACGUAGGCGGUGAAUCGGGUUGAAAGUGAAAGUCGCCAAAAAGUGGCGGAAUGCUCUCGAAACCAAUUCACUUGAGUGAGACAGAGAAGAGUGGAAUUUCGUGUGUAGGGGUGAAAUCCGUAAAUAUUGGGAAGAACACCGGUGGCGAAGGCGGCGACCUGGUCCUUGACUGACGCUGAGGCGCGAAAGCGUGGGGAGCAAACAGG